AUUGAACGCUGGCGGCAGGCCUAACACAUGCAAGUCGAACGAGUGGCGGACGGGUGAGUAAUGUCUGGGAAACUGCCUGAUGGAGGGGGAUAACUACUGGAAACGGUAGCUAAUACCGCAUACCAUCGGAUGUGCCCAGAAGGGAUUAGCAAGUAGGUGGGGUAAAGGCUCACCUGGGCGACGAUCCCUAGCUGGUCUGAGAGGAUGACCAGGCACACUGGAACUGCGACAUGGUCCAGACUCCUACGGGAGGCAGCAGUGGCGAAUAUUUAACAAUGGGCGCAAGCCUGAUGCAGCCAUGCCGCGUGUAUGAAGAAGGCCUUCGUGUUGUAAAGUACUUUCAGCGGAGAGGCGUUACCCGCAGAAGAAGCACCGGCUAACUCCGUGCCAGCAGCCGCGGUAAUAC
rnacentral:rRNA from 1 species